rnacentral:tRNA from 1 species
AUUUAUAUAGUAUAUUAGUACAAUUAAUUUCCAAUUAAUAGGUUUAUAGAAGUAAUAUAAAUA